GAUAAUACGACUAAUUUUUCAAGUGAUCGGUAAAGAUUAGGUAACAGUAACUACAAGCUGCAUCUGAUUAACGAAAUGUAAUAGUUCAUUUUCAUUAACAUUAAUAAUGUACAGAACAUUUUACAAAAAUGGACAUCUCAAAGCAUUAUUUCGUCCACUUUCCUUUACUUUUUUUUAAUGCUUUUAAUCUACGAGGCAUACUGUCAAUUAAAUUUUUAAUUAUUUGUAGUUCAAUAUUGUACCAUUCCUGUUGUGUUCUUCCCCAUAAUCCACGAACACUUCAAGGUGGAUUAUUAUAUUUUGCCAGCCUUCUUUUCAAAAUGGACCACGAAUUUUCGAUCGGAUUCAUAUCCGAACUUUGUGCUGGCCACUUCAUCACAGAAAAAUUUUGAUUUUCUAGCCAGGCUUUAACUAUUUUUGCAGUAUACUUAGGAUCCUCGUCUUGUUGAAAUACUACUUCACUUCAUUCACUUCACUUCGUUCAUUAUAUCCAAUAGAAUUAACAACAGAAGGUAAAUUGCUUUAUAGAAUGGCCAAAUAAUGCUCUUUUCGCAUUAUACCUUUGAUUCGAACUAAGGAACCAAUACCUCUGUGAGUAAAGCAACCCCAACACAUAAUUGAGUCACCUCCAAACUUCAUAGUUUGUUUUAUGCCACCUGGUUGAUCAUUAUUCUCGGAUGAAGUCCAAUAUACCAGGACCUUCUGUCGGAUUCGAAUCUGUUAAUUUUUGUUUCGUCACUCCAUAUAACUCUUUUCCAAUCUUCGGUCGUCCAUUCUUGGUACUAGGUGUCAAUAAAUUGUUUUCGUAAUUUUUUUUUCGUAAUAUUUUUGUUUGGAAGAGCUGGUUUACUUUCUUUUUCCUUCGCUCGGAAACCAAUUCUCUUUAAAGAGCGACGAAUGGUCAAUUCGCUAGCACUUAUUUCGAUUUCCUGAGCAGCAAUUUUUGGUGUUUUGUAACAACCCGACCGAAUACAGUGUGCAAUUUCACGUGCUGCUCUAUCCGAAAUAAAUCGCGGUCUACGGUUUUGUGAAGAAAUUGGUGCACUAACAUAUUUUUUCUUAUUCUUGCAACUAUCGUAUGACUGACACUACAUUUCUCUGUUUGCCGCAACGACAAACCUUUAUCAAACAAACAAAUAAUACUGUUCUUUUUAUCUUCACUAAGUGGCUUCAUCUUGGAUUAGGUAUAUCAAACUGAAAAGUAACCUAACAAUGGUGUGGAACAGUUGACUGCGAAACAGUGGACAAUCAGUGCCUACUGACAGUUUCGUUUCCCUGACAUUUAUGUAGUAUCGUGAGGAAAAAACCUGGUUAGAAACUAACCAAAACAAUGUCGUCUGUCCUUCGGCUGUUAGUUUAC
rnacentral:misc_RNA from 1 species